rnacentral:rRNA from 1 species
GAUCAUGGCUCAGAUUGAACGCUGGCGGAAUGCUUUACACAUGCAAGUCGAACGGUAGAGGGGCAACCCUUGAGAGUGGCGAACGGGUGAGUAAUAUAUCGGAACGUGCCCAGUCGUGGGGAUAACGUAGCGAAAGUUACGCUAAUACCGCAUACGAUCUAAGGAUGAAAGCGGGGGGACCGUAAGGCCUCGCGCGAUUAGAGCGGCCGAUAUCAGAUUAGGUAGUUGGUGGGGUAAAGGCUCACCAAGCCAACGAUCUGUAGCUGGUCUGAGAGGACGACCAGCCACACUGGAACUGAGACACGGUCCAGACUCCUACGGGAGGCAGCAGUGGGGAAUUUUGGACAAUGGACGCAAGUCUGAUCCAGCCAUUCCGCGUGCAGGAUGAAGGCCCUCGGGUUGUAAACUGCUUUUGUACGGAACGAAAAGGUUUCUAUUAAUACUAGGAGCUCAUGACGGUACCGUAAGAAUAAGCACCGGCUAACUACGUG